UACGUAGGGGGCAAGCGUUGUCCGGAUUCAUUGGGCGUAAAGAGCGUGUAGGCGGCUUUACAGGUCCGUUGUGAAAACUCGAGGCUCAACCUCGAGACGCCGGUGGAAACCGUAAGGCUAGAGUCCGGAAGAGGAGAGUGGAAUUCCCGGUGUAGCGGUGAAAUGCGCAGAUAUCGGGAGGAACACCUAUGGCGAAGGCAGCUCGCUGGGACGUUACUGACGCUGAGACGCGAAAGCGUGGGGAGCAAACAGG
rnacentral:rRNA from 1 species